CUCAGGAUGAACGCUAGCGGGAGGCCUAACACAUGCAAGCCGAGCGGUAGAGAUUCUUCGGGAUCUUGAGAGCGGCGUACGGGUGCGGAACACGUGUGCAACCUGCCUUUAUCAGGGGGAUAGCCUUUCGAAAGGAAGAUUAAUACCCCAUAAUAUAUUGAAUGGCAUCAUUUGAUAUUGAAAACUCCGGUGGAUAGAGAUGGGCACGCGCAAGAUUAGAUAGUUGGUAGGGUAACGGCCUACCAAGUCAAUGAUCUUUAGGGGGCCUGAGAGGGUGAUCCCCCACACUGGUACUGAGACACGGACCAGACUCCUACGGGAGGCAGCAGUGAGGAAUAUUGGACAAUGGGUGAGAGCCUGAUCCAGCCAUCCCGCGUGAAGGACGACGGCCCUAUGGGUUGUAAACUUCUUUUGUAUAGGGAUAAACCUUUCCACGUGUGGAAAGCUGAAGGUACUAUACGAAUAAGCACCGGCUAACUCCGUGCCAGCAGCCGCGGUAAUACGGAGGGUGCAAGCGUUAUCCGGAUUUAUUGGGUUUAAAGGGUCCGUAGCGGAUCUGUAAGUCAGUGGUGAAAUCUCAUAGCUUAACUAUGAAACUGCCAUUGAUACUGCAGGUCUUGAGUAAAGUAGAAGUGGCUGGAAUAAGUAGUGUAGCGGUGAAAUGCAUAGAUAUUACUUAGAACACCAAUUGCGAAGGCAGGUCACUAUGUUUUAACUGAC
rnacentral:rRNA from 1 species